AACGAACGCUGGCGGCAUGCCUAACACAUGCAAGUCGAACGAGACCUUCGGGUCUAGUGGCGCACGGGUGCGUAACGCGUGGGAACCUGCCCUUAGGUUCGGAAUAACUCCCCGAAAGGGGUGCUAAUACCGGAUAAUGUCUUCGGACCAAAGAUUUAUCGCCUUUGGAUGGGCCCGCGUUGGAUUAGCUAGUUGUUAGGGUAAAAGCCUACCACGGCGACGAUCCAUAGCUUGUCUGAGAGGAUGAUCAGCCACACUGGGACUGAGACACGGCCCAGACUCCUACGCGAGGCAGCAGUGGGGGAUAUUGGACAAUGGGCGGAAGCCUGAUCCAGCAAUGCCGCGUGAGUGAUGAAGGCCUUAGGGUUGUAAAGCUCUUUUACCCGGGAUGAUAAUGACAGUACCGGGAGAAUAAGCUCCGGCUAACUCCGUG
rnacentral:rRNA from 1 species